rnacentral:rRNA from 1 species
UACAGAGACCGCAAGCGUUAUUCGGAUUCACUGGGCGUAAAGGGUGCGCAGGCGGCCAAGUGUGUCAGGUGUGAAAUCCCGAGGCUUAACCUCGGAACUGCGCCUGAAACUACUUGGCUAGAGUACUGGAGAGGGUAACGGAAUUCACGGUGUAGCAGUGAAAUGCGUAGAUAUCGUGAGGAACACCAGAGGCGAAGGCGGUUACCUGGACAGUUACUGACGCUGAGGAGCGAAAGCCAGGGGAGCAAACGGG